UACGAAAUCCUUCCAUGAUGUGCU
rnacentral:siRNA from 1 species